CCUACGGGAGGCAGCAGUAAGGAAUAUUGCGCAAUGGGCGAAAGCCUGACGCAGCGACGCCGCGUGGGGGAUGAAGGUCUUCGGAUUGUAAACCCCUUUCGGGAGGGAAGAUGGAAUGGGGUAACCCAUUCGGACGGUACCUCCAGAAGCAGCCACGGCUAACUUCGUGCCAGCAGCCGCGGUAAUACGAAGGUGGCAAGCGUUAUUCGGAUUUACUGGGCGUACAGGGAGCGUAGGCGGUUUGGCAAGCCCUCUGUGAAAUCUUCAGGCUUAACCUGGAAAAGUCGGGGGGGACUGCUGGGCUAGAGGACGGGAGAGGAGCGCGGAAUUCCCGGUGUAGCGGUGAAAUGCGUAGAGAUCGGGAGGAAGGCCGGUGGCGAAGGCGGCGCUCUGGAACGUUUCUGACGCUGAGGCUCGAAAGCGUGGGGAGCAAACAGGAUUAGAUACCCUGGUAGUCCACGCCUUAAACUAUGAAUACUAAGUGUCGGCGGUUUACCGCCGGUGCCGCAGCUAACGCAUUAAGUAUUCCGCCUGGGAAGUACGGCCGCAAGAUUGAAACUCAAAGGAAUUGACGG
rnacentral:rRNA from 1 species